GAGACAGAGCUACCACUUAGCACCUGACCCUGUGUCCUAGGAUAGAUAAGUGAUCCCUUUGUAAUCCCCUUUUCCAUCCUUGGCAUUGGUUCCACUGCUACCUUCACCACUAUUGCCUU
rnacentral:precursor_RNA from 15 species